GGAUGCGCUCAUACCAGCCCUAAAGCACGGGAUCCCAUCAGAACUCCGAAGUUAAGCGUGCUUGGGCGAGAGUAGU
rnacentral:rRNA from 1 species